GUGAAUAUUAGGGCGUCUACUUCGGUAGGGCCUGACCUCCACUUUCUAACUCUGUGCACUUAUUUGGCGGAAAAGGGAACUAGUAAUAGUUCUUACUUUCUGCGGCUUACUUUAAACACUAGUCAAAGUAUGUAACGAAAUAUCGAAACAAAUAA
rnacentral:misc_RNA from 1 species